CUGUUUCACAGUUUUCCUCAAGUGUUCUCCGUGCUCGUCGUCACUUCAUACCUGUGGCAGACACUGGACUACAGCUGCGGCGCCUUGCAGAAUGAGUCUUCCCUUCCCUGAUAGGAAGGCGUUAGGGCAACUCGUCUGGAGGGGCCGUGUUUUGAUUCUGAACUUAGAGAACAGUGGGGGGUUUUCCUGGCACAGUGGCCAGCAGAGCUGUCUGCUGGCAGAGAAGAGGAUCUUGAGUAGUGGUUCUCAAGUCUUCGUACUCCACGUAGACCCUAGGGAGCCCAGGAGACUGCUCCUUCCUGCCCUCCCACUCCGGACAUCAGUCCCAUUCAGAGCAGGUUGAUGUGUGGUUGAGGAAUCUGUGUUUUACCCUAACCUCUCCUUGUACCCUCUCCACGAUCCCUAUCCUGACAGCUGUGGACCAUAGACGGGGUCCAGUUGUGAUCUGAUCCAUCAGCCUCUGUGACUGGUGGAAGGCAUGCUUAUUUUGAAUAUUGUUCAACUGAUGUGAAGUUUUUUAGUUGCUGCUUAAAAGAAGUAAGAAUAUUCAUGUAAAAUACCUCUUAGAUCCUUAAUAAUGAAAGUAGUGUAGGUUUUGCUUUUGUAAGUUACUAAUGAUUGCAGAAUGAAAGCAUUCUCUUAACGGUGGUUUGGCAGGUCAGGCUCUGAGUGCUAUGUGGCCGGAUCGUCAGGGGCUAGUGUAGCUGGGGAUGGUACAGGGGACUGAAGGGUGCAGGCGGCCUGUUGAUUUCAUGGGCUGGGCUGCGGUGUGUGGCAUCCUGGUGCAGUGCUGCUGCUGCCUGUAAUUGGGCUUGGGGGUUCACACACUAUGUGGCCGCUGCUGAGAGAGGACUACUCUGGCUGUUUUUCCUCUGUCAUUUUUUUUUUUAAAUUGAUCUAAAAGGAAAGGUCAGGAGAUUCAGCCACAACAAAGACGGUUUUUGCCCUUUCUGGGGAAGAUUGCUGUGUCAGGCCUCGUGCAGAGCACGUGGGAAUCCCUGUGGGGUGGGCUUAUGUCUUUUGAGAAGUCCAGGAAGAGCUCAUCAGGAAACGGAAUAGGCGUUGCUACCAUGACGCAGCCCUGCACUGCGCAUUCAUUUUUUAGUGAAUAUUUUUUACUUCUGUGGGGGAGUUGGUUUUUCAGCCGAGGAUGUGAAGUUGGCGGGAAUUAAAUAUUGGUAGAGGCGCAGGGAGUCUGGAUUCAGUAUCUGGAGUAGUCAGUCUCUUCCUUGGCUUUUAAGGGUUUUCUUGUAGGAAGGCAGAAUAGAGUCCCUCCUGUUAUCUGGUCAUUUUUAACAGCGAUGCAUAUUUUGGGAUGCUGAUAAUCUGAUUUGAGUUGUGUUAAUGUAUAGCAAUGGUCCCCACCCUUUUCGGCACCAGGGACUGGUUUCACGGAAGACAGUUUUUCCACCGCUGGUGGGGAGGGAUGACGGUUUCAGGAUGAAACUGUUGCACCUCAGAUCAUCAGGCAUUAGAUUGUCCUAAGGAGCUCACAACCUAGAUUCCGCAACCUGGAUCUAUGGUGUGUGCAGCCCACAACAGGGUUCUCACUCCUGUGAGAGUCUAAUGCUGCUGCUGCUUUGACAGGAGGUGGGGCUCAGCCUUUGAUGCCUGCUGGCCCCCUCACCUCCUGCUGUGCGACCUGAUUCCUAACAGGCCAUGGACCUCCAACUGGCAGGCAGCAGGGCGCCUGGGCCUCUGUCCAGGCCAGCGCUGGCUGGCUGCCUUCUGCUAUGUGUUGGUUGGUUGGCUGGCGGGUGUUUUUGUAGCACAUUGGAUGACUAGUGGAUACUUUUUAACAGUCUCUCAUUGUCUUCUCCAUUCUAGCAACAGACAGGACAUCAUGUGGAUACUUUGUAACAGUCCCUCAUCUUCUCCAUUCUAGCAACAGACACAUAUACUUGACGUCAUAAUGGUUUGGAAAUGAGGGGGGUAAUGGCAAUGCUGACCUCAAGACCAAAACUCACGUGCGGGAGCAUCCGUGCCUCGUUGGAGGGCUGCGUGUGGCCAGCGCUAGCAGCUAUUUUGAGAUCUCUUCAGUCUCUUGCUUGAGUGGGAGUUGCCUGCAAAGCUGCCCCAUUGCGACUUUGCAGCAUAGAUCUCCGUACUGUUUCUUAUUUUUGUUUCUGUGUGUUUGUUUUAAAUGUGUGUGCGCUCAUGUGAGUUUGAAGGGAGUUAGAUGCAACAGCAGGAGCUGUGCUCAGGGCAGUGGUGUUAAUUAUGGAGGGCGUGGGAAGGGCUGGGAAGAGGAGGGGGUUGUAAGACUCCCCUUUUCCCUCGCAUGUAAACAGAUGCUGGUGACUGAAAGUCUGUCUGCGGUUAUUGGCAAGAGUGACUGGAAACUGUGAAACACUAAAAACACCAGCAUCUGGUGUUUGCAGAGCAUUUUCCUUUGACGAAGAAAGAAAAACCGUCUUUUUAGCAGACACCCCACCGUCCCCGGUCCCUGCUGUCUGUGUCUGUGGAUCUGCCUCUUCUGGGUAUUUCAUAAAAGCGGAAUCAAAACA